CUUGCCUGUGGCACUUGGCGCCCUCUCUGUGACUGUGUGUGUGUGUUCCGUCGCUGUCCUGCAAGGUCCUCACAGUGUCCCGGUGGAGGGCCCAGGGGUGACGUUGGUGAGUUUUUCUUCUUGCAAGAGGAGAGGCACUGUGGCAGUGAAGGGAAAGCAAUGGCUGGUCACGGACCACAUGCCUGGAGGUACCCCUCGCUCCCGGGCAUGCUCAGCUUGGCUCCGGCUCCAGAAGGUGUGUGGGCUUCAUCACGCAGGUGUUGCGGGGAAUGGAUGAGUCCGCUGGUGGGAAGCGCUCUGUAAGAUGGAAGCUUUGGAAGCUCCCCCACCAGACCCAUUUCUGGAUCCAUGGACCUCUUCCACCCGGGGGUGCUGGUUGAGAAUCCAGAGAAGGAGGCCCCGAGCCCUCACUGCACACGGAUGGCCUUCCUCCUCCUCUGGGUGCUCCAUCCCUGUGGGAGGCAGCCAGGACCAGGACUCAGGCCCUCCUUAGGAUGCCUACACUGUGGGCUUUGGGGCCAGGCGCCUAGCCAGGGGCUGUGCAGGAAGCAGAGAAUCCUCUGUACCCCAGAUGUAUUGGUUUUCCCCACGUCGAGCAAUUCAACGACCCCAGCUGGGGAGCCUACGAUUUAACUCAAUUCUGACAGUAUCUACCUGGAGGGCGUUUCUCCAGAAGAUUGACGCGUAACAGACAGAGGCUGCCAGUGGCCCACCGGUUCCCACCCCCUCUCCUCCUUAGCAACAGAAACCUGGGCAGCUGGAUGAAGCCAAAGGACUAAGAUCUGGCCAGUGAGAUGUGAGCAGAAGUUGCUAGCAUGAUGGGCAGAAACGAAGAAGGAGCUUGGGUGCCUGACGAGGGAGUCGCCACCAUUCCCACCCUGGACGGCCAACCUCUAAACUUCUUUCCUGGCAGAACAACCCCUUGUGACACGAGUUUGAGACUCUGUGGUCGUCUCUGAAGUUGUCAGCUUAGACUGCUAUAAGGAAAUAUUCCAGACUGGGUGGUUUAGACAAUAGAUCUUUGUUUCUCACAGUUCUGGAAGGUGGGAAGUCCAAGAUCGAGGUGCUAGCAGAUUUGCUUCUUGGUGAGGGCUCUCUUCCUGGUUUGCAGAGGCUACCUUCUCAAGUGUCCUCACAUGGUGGAGGGAAAAGGAGAGGGGAAGAGAGAGAGCGGGAACUCGGAUCUCUCUUUCUCUUCUUAUGAGGGCACUAAUCCUCUUCACGUCCUACUCAGCUCCCAAAGGCCCCGCCUCCAAAUCCUUUCACACUGGGGGUUGAAGUCUCAACAUGUGAAUUUUGGGGGGACACAAAUCUUCAGCCCAUAACAGCCCACAGCCAAACCCAAUUGUAAUGGGUACUCACCCUUUAUUAUCCCUCAUCUGAAACAACGAUCACAACGGAUCCUUCCCAGAACUCCGUGUGCUCUCCAUUCACUGCCCUGUCUCUCUCUCCCAUUUCUUUCUCAAAUGUCCUAUAAAUUGAAAGGACUCAUGGCCUCCACCUGCACACCUUCCACGUGCUCCUGGUCCAAGCUGGCAUUGACCUCCACCCGAGGACUCAUGCCUGAACGUGAGCAUCCUCUGUGAUCCAACCCUCUCUCUCACCUCCUCCAUCCAAUCCGCCACCAAGUCCCACGGUCCAGCUUCCAGAACAUUCCUCGCAUCUAUCUGCUUCUCUCCAUCUCCAUGACCACUGCCUGCAUCUCACACUUGGCCUUCAGGAAGUGCUUCUCUCAGGUUCUGGUGUCCACUCUUUUCUCACUACCCUGCAGAACAAAUCAGCUAUUCACUCAUGAACAGGUCAUGCCCCUCCCCUGCUUAGAACCCCUCACAGCCUCCCAUCGCUCUCAGAAAUAUGGCCUACAGGCUGCUGCGUGGGUGCCCGCCAUGAACUCAGCAGCUGCAUCUCCCCUCCCUCUCUGCAAGGCAGAGCCCACGUCAGGCUCUUCCUGUUCCUCCAGCGCCCCACACUCAGCCUCAGGCUGUCCACAUGACCACGGGCUCUGCUGAAGUGCCCUGGCCCCCACUUUCCUCCUGCCUAGCCCCUGCUCCUUCUACGUCCCAACUUAGAUGUCACUUGUCAGGCAGCCUGCCUACAACCUCAUUCCAGUAGGUAAGAUUCUGCCUAUUACAUGUCAAUAGCAUCCCAUGGAAUUGUGAUCAAUUCACCAGGUGUGUGAUUUUCUGAUUAAUAUCCACCUACCCCACCAGGUGUGAGCUUCCUUGGGUGGGGACAAUGCCUAGACAAGGCCUGGCACACAGCAGGUGCUUAGCAAGUGCUUGCUGAAUGCAUGAAAGCAUUCUUAAAUAUAGGAAAAUUGAGGGUCAGAGAGAGGAAGGACCAGCCUGAGGUCCCAGAGUCCACGCCCAGCACAGCUGUGAUUGGGAUCCAGGUCUCCUGGACCCAAGGCAGCCACUCUUGGUGAGUCAUCCACAUCCCUGAGAGCAGGAAGAGGAGAGGGUGGAUGGGGGAUCCAAAGGACUCCGUCUCUGAUUGGAGGUGAGGCCAGCAGGGGAGAGAAGAGGCGAGAAACCCAGGCUCCUGGCUCAGGAUUUGGGUGGAGAGGGCACUGGAGGUGUGAGGCUUGGGUAAGGGUAAGGUGGUCCUGGCGGGAGCUGUGGGCUAACACAAGACACCCACAGGUGGCUGGAUACACAAGGACAGGGUCUGCGGGCAGGGAUGAUUGGGGCUGGCAGCCAGGAGGAGGGGGCUGAGCUGCUGUGAGGAGAAGCGUCAGGGAACAUGCAAAGACUUGAGGCUCUGAAACUGUGACCACCGCCUCUGCGGGGCUGGCAUUGCUGCCAGGCCGUGUCUCAACACUUUUUCGACUCCUGAAAACUUAAAGGGAGAAAUAUCCAGUUCUCUUCAAGCAGACAGCUAAGCCGAAAAGUCAGGUGGGGACUGCAGCACCAGCAGAAAACAGCUCUCAGGGAGAAUUCUCUUACUUCUGGUCAAGCCUACUCAGAUUGUAAGUUCACCCUUUUAAGCCUCUGAAGGACCUGAGCCCAGAUUAGGUCAAAGGACGUAUUGCGGGCCCUGUCUGUGUGAAGCUCUCUAAUUACACAUUUACAGAAUAAUCCAAAUGUUUUCAAGUUUGACUGACGUUCAACCUUGCAGGUCAUUGCACACAGGGCAUCCACUUGCAUCUAUAGAAUCCCACAGAAACACUCUUUCCCAAGCUUUUGGGACUGGUAUUGGUUUAGUUCAACCAAAAGUUGAUUAAAGUGAAAAAUUAUUUUUAAAAAUUCAAACAUAGCUUAAAAUUUUUAUUUUUAACUUAAAUCAUACAGAGGUACCCUCUCCAGUCGACUUGGACGCAGGGGCAGAGCCUUCUCUGGGCACGGGUCAUGUGGCAUGAGUGAGGAUCACUUCCUUGCAUCAGCAGCACCCCUGUGGCUCCUACUUCCUGCUUUUUUCGAGUCUAAGGAGAGCUGGAGCCAUGCGUGAAAUCAGCCGAGGGCAAGCUCCGCAUAGAUUUUCAUCAUUUUUUCUGUGGCUCUCUUACAGAUGUCUUUCCCAUGUAUGCUACUUAUCUAUUGCUGGGUAACAAAUUAUUUCAGCACUUAGUACCUUGAAGCAACAAUAGUCUUUCACUGUCCCUGCUGGGGUCUGUGGCCAGAAAUUCGGGAGCCACUGGACCGUACAGGCCUGCGCAGGGUUCCUCGAGAGGCUGCAG
rnacentral:lncRNA from 1 species